AUCCGGCUGACGAGUCCCAAAUAGGACGAAACGCACAUCAAACUGGAU
rnacentral:hammerhead_ribozyme from 1 species